rnacentral:rRNA from 1 species
AGAACGAACGCUGGCGGCAUGCCUAACACAUGCAAGUCGAACGAGACCUUCGGGUCUAGUGGCGCACGGGUGCGUAACGCGUGGGAAUCUGCCCUUAGGUACGGAAUAACAGUGAGAAAUUACUGCUAAUACCGUAUGAUGUCUUCGGACCAAAGAUUUAUCGCCUAGGGAUGAGCCCGCGUUGGAUUAGCUAGUUGGUGGGGUAAAGGCCUACCAAGGCGACGAUCCAUAGCUGGUCUGAGAGGAUGAUCAGCCACACUGGGACUGAGACACGGCCCAGACUCCUACGGGAGGCAGCAGUGGGGAAUAUUGGACAAUGGGCGAAAAGCCUGAUCCAGCAAUGCCGCGUGAGUGAAGAAGGCCUUAGGGUUGUAAAGCUCUUUUACCGGGAAGAUAAUGACUGUACCGGAGAAUAAGCCCGGUUAACUCCGUGCCAGCAGCCGC